rnacentral:lncRNA from 1 species
UUUGUUGGUGGAAUAGAGAGGGAAAAGAAAGGUGUCGACCCCUAUUUAUUGACAUAUGAAGGAUUGGUUGCUGACCUGAAAAAUUUCGGCUUUGGUUUGAAGAGAAUGUGGUUCAACAGUUUCCUUGAUAUUCCUUUCAAGAAGAGAAUUUGGCUCAGCGGUUUCCUUGAGAUCAAAAGUGACGAGGAAGUGAAUAGAAUAUUUAAACACUCCUCUAUAAAUGGACUCUUAAUUCAUUUGUUCGUUGAGGGAUGGGUCCACAGUGAGUGGGAGGGAGAAUACGAUGAUGAGAUGAUGGAGAUGUUAAGGGAGCAACGGAGGAUGAAGACUGACGUGUAUUCCGAUGAGGAUGAGGUCAAGUGGUGGGGCAUCUCAUGUUCAGACUUAGACUCAGACUUAGACUUUGAUUCCACAUCCUUUGCUGAUCUUGUUCCGUCACCGAUGUCCUUCACAAUCCGAUUCCACCUUGGAGGAAAGAAGCUCUAUUGGGGGUGUAUUGGUGGAGUAGAGAGAGAAAAGGAAGGUGUCAACCCCAGUUCAGUGACAUAUGAAGGAUUGAUUGUUGACGUGAAAAAUUUCGGCUUUCGUAUGAAGCGAAUGUGGUACGAGAUUCUUCUUGGAUUGGAAAUGAGGAUCGUGAGUGAUGAGGAUGAGGUCAAGUGGUGGGGCGUUUCACAUUCAGACUCAGACUCAGACUUAGACUUUGAUUCCACAUCCUUUGCUGAUCUUGUUCCGUCACCGAUGUCCUUCACAAUCCGAUUCCACCUUGGAGGAAAGAAGCUCUAUUGGGGGUGUAUUGGUGGAGUAGAGAGAGAAAAGGAAGGUGUCAACCCCAGUCAGUGACAUAUGAAGGAUUGAUUGUUGACGUGAAAAAUUUCGGCUUUCGUAUGAAGCGAAUGUGGUACGAGAUUCUUCUUGGAUUGGAAAUGAGGAUCGUGAGUGAUGAGGAAGUGAAUACGAUGUUGGAAUACGCAUCUAGAAGAAUAUCACCAAUUCAUUUGGUCGUUGAGGG